rnacentral:rRNA from 1 species
UACAGAGGGUGCAAGCGUUGUUCGGAAUUACUGGGCGUAAAGGGCGCGUAGGCGGUCUUGUAAGUCAGAUGUGAAAGCCCGGGGCUCAACUCCGGAAGUGCAUUUGAAACUGCAAGGCUAGAGUGCAGUAGAGGUUGGUGGAAUUCCUAGUGGAGAGGUGAAAUUCGUAGAUAUUAGGAGGAACACCGGUGGCGAAGGCGGCCAACUGGGCUGUAACUGACGCUGAGGCGCGAAAGCAUGGGUAGCAAACAGG